CUUGUAUUAUUUUAGUUUCGAGGUCCUGCUUGAAGGUUUUAUUUUUGCUUCUCCAAGAAGAUGUUUAUUUUAAGUUAAAUUAUGCACCAAACUGGGGAAAUUGUGGAUGCGUUUGAUGCUCAAAAUGCUGAAAGUGUUCCUGCCAAACAGAAAAUGACUCGCAGAGGAUCAGAAUAACUACAAAUGUGGUGCCCAGAACUACGCGCAGAACUGAAGGUGAGACCAUUGCAGAGCAGAGCGGGACCAUCCCCUCCUUUGACCGGCCCUUCCCGGAGGCAGGAGAUGU